rnacentral:tRNA from 1 species
GACACAGUGGUCCAAUGGUAAAGCCCUGGUUGCAGAGCCAGAGGGUCCUGGGUUCGAUCCCCAACGGGGUCG